UUUCAGAAUUAGGAUGGGAUGCAAGAGUAGCACUCAGGGUAUACGGUGCUUUUGACAGCAACGAGUAUAUAAAGGCUCAAAAAAUAAGGAACCGCCAGAUGGAGAUUCAUAAGAACAUAUUUGCCAAGGCAGAUGUCAUAGUUGCUCCGACAACAGGUGUGACUGCAUACACAAUAUUCGACGAUGCUUUAAAGAGCGGUGAGCUCGAUUACAUAAACGGAGGUACGAGUUU